rnacentral:lncRNA from 1 species
UCUCUUGAUGAUCUUCCUUUUCCAAACUUGACUCCUCACUUUCACUCCAUUCAGCCAUGAAGUUCUUCUUUUUAAGUUUUCUUGCCAUCCACUUUAAUUCCGGGCAAUCUAUCUUAUAAUGUCCGGAUUUGUUACACUCAUAACAAAUAGGUGUUUUUUUUUCUUUUCUUUGUCCUUACCCUUUUCUUUGCUUGAGCUACCUUUGAAGAAGGAUUUUUUUUUAUGAAAUCUAUUCUUACCUCUCAUAAAUUUUCUGAAUUUUCUUUCAAGCAUAGCCAUUCCUUCUUCAUCAAAUUCAUCAUCAUCAUCAGAAUCUUCCGACUCAGUUUGUUGUUUUGGAGUGGU